GCUAACCUAAGCCCGCACAACUAUUAAAUUAACUAUUUUCAUUACUAAUCUAAACCAUUUACCCUAUCAUAGUAUAGGCGAUAGAACAGAUACCCAGGCGCAAUAACGCACAGUACCGUAAGGGAAACAUGAAAGACCAGUUCAAAGCACAACAAAGCAAAGACUAAAACCUUCUACCUUUUGCAUAAUGAUUUAGCAAGUCAAACCGGACAAAAAGAAUUAAGCCCGCCUCCCCGAAAUCAAGUGAGCUACUAUAAAACAGCAUAUAGAGCCAACUCAUCUAUGUAGCAAAAUAGUGAGAAGAUUUUAUAGUAGAGGUGAAAAGCCUACCGAACUUGAUGAUAGCUGGUUGUCCAAAAAAUGAAUUUCAGUUCAACUUUAAAUUUGAUUAAAUUAUAUGUUAAACAUAACUUAAAUUUAAAAGCUAAUCAAAAGGGGGACAACUCUUUUGACUAUGUAAACAAACUUUAUUAGAGGAUAAUGAAUAUUUAAAACCAUUGUAGGCCCAAAAGCAGCCACCAAUUAAGAAAGCGUUAAAGCUCAAACCACUCAUAAAAUUUUAAUUCCAAAAAUUAUACCAAAAUCCCUAACCUAGACUAUUGGACGAUUCUAUAAUACUAUAGAAGACAUAAUGCUAAAAUUAGUAACAAGAAAUAUUUCUCCUAGCACAAACCUACAUUAGCAACGGAACAUCCACUAACAAUUAACAAACUAAUAAUAUCAACCAAACAACUAGUAAGAUUCUUAUAUCCAUUGUUAACCCGACACAGGAGUGCAAGCAGGAAAGAUUAAAAAGAAUAAAAGGAACUCGGCAAACACAAACCCCGCCUGUUUACCAAAAACAUCACCUCUAGCAUGACAAAUAUUAGAGGCAACGCCUGCCCAGUGAGCUCACACUUCAACGGCCGCGGUAUCCUGACCGUGCAAAGGUAGCAUAAUCACUUGUCUCUUAAUUAGGGACUUGUAUGAAUGGCAUCACGAGGGUUUAACUGUCUCUUAUUCUCAAUCAGUGAAAUUGACCUUCCCGUGCAGAGGCGGGAAUACCCAUACAAGACGAGAAGACCCUGCGGAGCUUAAGAUUCAUAGUCUAACUCAACCAAUUUCACCCAAUACAAGGAACAAAAACAGACCCACUAGACUAUUAACCUUUGGUUGGGGUGACCUCGGAGUAUAGAACAACCUCCGAAUGAUUAAGCCAAGAUCUACUAAUCUUAGCGUAAUAAUACCAGUAAUUGACCCAUCUAUUGAUCAACGGAACAAGUUACCCCCAGGGAUAACAGCGCAAUCCUAUUUAAGAGCCCAUAUCGACAAUUAGGGUUUACGACCUCGAUGUUGGAUCAGGACAUCCAAAUGGUGCAGCCGCUAUUAAUGGUUCGUUUGUUCAACGAUUAAAGUCCUACGUGAUCUGAGUUCAGACCGGAGAAAUCCAGGUCGGUUUCUAUCUGUACAUUAAUUUCUCCCAGUACGAAAGGAUAAGAGAAAUAAGGCCUAUACCACACAGCAAGCCUUAGAGACAAGAUAUGAACUAAUCUUAAUAUCAUAACUCAAUCUAUCCUCCACUCUAGAAAAGAGC
rnacentral:rRNA from 1 species